rnacentral:rRNA from 1 species
AGUGAACGCUGGCGGUAGGCCUAACACAUGCAAGUCGAACGGCAGCACAGUAAGAGCUUGCUCUUACGGGUGGCGAGUGGCGGACGGGUGAGGAAUACAUCGGAAUCUACUUUUUCGUGGGGGAUAACGUAGGGAAACUUACGCUAAUACCGCAUACGACCUACGGGUGAAAGCAGGGGAUCUUCGGACCUUGCGCGAUUGAAUGAGCCGAUGUCGGAUUAGCUAGUUGGCGGGGUAAAGGCCCACCAAGGCGACGAUCCGUAGCUGGUCUGAGAGGAUGAUCAGCCACACUGGAACUGAGACACGGUCCAGACUCCUACGGGAGGCAGCAGUGGGGAAUAUUGGACAAUGGGCGCAAGCCUGAUCCAGCUAUACCGCGUGGGUGAAGAAGGCCUUCGGGUUGUAAAGCCCUUUUGUUGGGAAAGAAAAGCAGCAGGUUAAUACCCCGCUGUUCUGACGGUACCCAAAGAAUAAGCACCGGCUAAUUUCGUG